AUGGUGAUCAUAAUGAAACAUUGCAUUUUUUAUACAAGUUACUGGUACAAUCUACACCUGGCAAAUAAAUUUAAACCACUACCUAUUUUAUCAGGUAAAAACACCAGCAUGUUGUUUGAGGUGCAUGUAUCGGUUGUAGCAAAGCUGUGCGUACAACGAUGCAUUGCUGACCAUGGAGCACUCCCAAGUCUUGAGGAUAUGUACGGCAACUUAGAGACUUACACAUUGCCAUUGGCUCCUAUCACCAUGCAAGUGGUCGAUGCUUUAGGCCCUGUUUGGUUCAGCUUUUAUCGACGGAUUCCGCUGCCACGCAGCAGAAUCUGA
rnacentral:rRNA from 1 species